ensembl:lncRNA
GGACUUUUCGAGCCAACAGCUGUCUCAGGGACUCUUCUGCAGGCCUGUGUAAAGUGGUCACCGUAGGAAAACAAUAACCAUGUAAAUUGUUGAAGCAGUUGUUGAAGUCCUCCCUGGGAACUGCACUAGAUAGAUCACAUAGAUCUCUUUUCUGCAUCCGGAGGCAAACAGCAUCCCCUAAUGCUGCUGGUGAGGGAUGAAGGACCACUCUGGGAUGCGCUGAGUACCAACCAGUGAGGAAUGUGACCAAAAGAAGUGAUCAGCCCAUCUGCUGCACAUGCUGUGCAUGGCUUUACCAGCCUCCAGUCUGGUCCCCACCAAGACCUUCCACUCUGUAAUGAAGAAUUAGGAGCUGUUUAUGUUCCGUGUCACACUGGACAACCUGAGGGCCUCGCUGUCUCCUGGAGACCCAGAUGAGUGCUGUCUGGCACCUUUAUGGCAAGACCAGACCCAGCAGCUCAUGACAUCAGCCCAGGACCAACCUUGCAGCAGACCCUGAUCUGAGCCUUCAAAGUGGGAACAUCUCCCAGACAAGAAAGCAAAGCUGUUGUAGCACUGCGGGGUUGUAUUGCACAUGCCAUGUCUGUUGCAUCCCAAACUUUCAAUUUUAAUGGACACAAACACAUAGAAACUGGUGGUUCUCUCUCUUUCUCCAGCCUCCUACUGUGUCCCUGCUGAUCACUACACGUUCCAGGUGACCUUGCAGCCCGGCUUUGUCUCUUACACAAGGCUGUGGGAAACCAUGGAGCUUCCUAGUGCAGAGAACAAGGUCGAGUGCCAAAGAGGUGACAGAGAGUGAUGAAACCCUUCUGGUAGGGCCAUUUCCUAAUCUCAGCUGGCCACGUGCAAUCACCUAGAAGUUCUUCAUGCAGAUGUCUGGGAAACCAAACGUGUCCAUCUGGGUGGUAGUCAGCACUUAGCAUUAUGCAAACAAUACACUAGAAGGUUGAAAAACAUCUGGAAUUUGUUGGGGGAACAUCCACUCCACUGCCUGGCUUCAGGGUGAGCUUUACAUCCACACCAACAGAAGCAAACUCAGAAGGCCCUCAGCUGCUUCUCCCACUGCUCUGAGUCUUCUGAGCUUACCAAACCUACCAUUUGCUGCUCCCACUAAGAAAACCCUUUACCACAGUGGCUCCUCUUGGUGGCUCAUGAUGCAUCCUCACCAGUCUGCUGGUCACAAUCCCAGAUCCCUCUACCACAUCCCCACUCUGCAGAAAAGGAUGAGAAGCCUUAUGAGAAACCCAAUGGGCUCCAGCAGAGGCUUCAUCAUGGCAGACUCUCCUGAACAGAGCCCUUCCUUCCCUGCCUCCACCUAUGUUUUAUUUCUCCCCCCUGCUCUUUUGCCCCAUAGCUGCAGGCUACAAUUACUAACAGUGACUAAUAAAGAGGCAGGGCAGCACCAGAUGAACCCUGAAAGGUCAACCUAAAAGCAACGGUUUAAGAGCAGCCAAAAGCAAUUGUCCAAAAGCAGUCUGAAAUCAAUUAUUCUUCAGCCCAACAUUACCCUCCUGCAUAAAAUAACUCCUCCUGACCUCACCAAACCUUUGAUUUGCUCCAUCUGAGAAGCUCUGCUGUUGCUUCCCAUUCAGAAGUCUCAUCUUCCUCUGUGAAGGUACUGGGGCAAGUUCCUCCAGGAUUGAUGCCAACCAAAAGGGAAGCUCCUGUGUUUGAUCUGAACCCAACCAGAAGUGCCCAAAAUUCAGCCCAUGCUUACCCACAGCGUUUACAAAUCUCAGAAGCCUUGAGGCAAGCCAGGAAGAAAUGUCUGAUGUUUGGUGAAAGCCUAUGCUAUGGAGAAAUCUUCUGCUAAGUCCACACGGUUAUCCCUUCUCUUCAUGAAUCAUACUGAAUCCUUUAUGUUAGCUGUACUAAGGACUUCAUCACAGAGCUCUCCAUGGAGACUGCAACAUAAGAUGAGGUAAAAUGGUAGCAAAAAGAUAAGAAAUGCAAAAAAAAAAAGACUUUUUCAUACACAUACACUUUGUAACAAUGAGUUGUCAUUGUCCAG